AGGGUUGGGGUCUUCCGUUCAGACCUUCCCCCGGCAGCUCUCUUUGGGGGGAGGCCCGCCCUUCGUUGUUGACCCUGGAGGAGCCGUGGAGAUUCUGGCCUAGGAGAAUCGGGCCGUUGGGAGGAAACUCCGGCAGCCUGGGCCUGCGGGGGAUGUGUUGGUAAGGCCUCCUCGCGCCGCAGGCCUUGAACGGCGGCGGCCAGGGCCUGAACUUGCUGCACCAAAGCAUUGAAUUGCUCCGGCUGAACCUGGGGAACCGGGUCAGCCGGAGUAGGUGGAUUCUGGACGGAGUGUCCAGGACUCUGUGGGGGACGCCGGGAGGCAUUGGAGGCUCCCUUACUUCUCAACUUCAUGAUCGCGACUCGGGCCCUUCCUCUAGCGCCAACUGUUGCUGGAAAUUGGACCCGGGGGCGAUCGUCGGUCGAGGAGGGGGAGCGGCGGUGGAGCGGCUGUCC
rnacentral:lncRNA from 1 species